CAUUGGACAUAAAUUAGUAAAUGCCCCCGAGUGCAGGAUGAGUCAUCAAACAUUUGAAACUGUUUCACAGGAAGAGAACAGACCGUGAUUAUAAUGUAAAAAUAGUCAAAAUAGAAUUGA